GCCCGUCUGGCUCAAUUGGUUAGAGCCUCCGACUCUUAAUCGGAAGGUUGUGGGUUCGAGUCCCACGGUGGGCU
rnacentral:tRNA from 1 species